CGUUGAACCGCGAUACCGAAGG
rnacentral:miRNA from 1 species